GGACUGGGGCUGGAAUGAUGGUUCUCAUGGUUUCCUUGCAACUCGGGAUAUUCUGUGACUCUGUGAUUAUUCUGUUUAGGUGAUCAACAGUGAGAUAAUUACAUUUCACACGCAAAAUGACGUGAGGGGUCAUAAUGAAUGCCUGAGGACCUGGAUUGGACAUUUCACACCACAGGAAAGCAUACAAAAGGAAGAGGAUUCAUAUCUCUCUGUAUUCAAGAGGAGAAAUACACGAGCUGUUCGGCAGCUCUCAAGUAUCAGCAACAUAGGGGUGAGAAGCCCUUUGCCCUGGCAGUUGUACUGAUUCAGUUUUUUAUGUGACUGGACUACGUGCCAGACCUGGGAAUAAAGCCACUUAAAAACAACAACAACAAUAACAACACAGUAUGGUGGAGACGGAAAAAAAAGGAGGGAGAGAGGCUCUAUUUCCCUGAGAGCCAGCACUGCCAUUAUAACCCCACUGCACCAAAACAGCCUUCUGGAGUGAUUGAUGGGGAGAGGUGUCACAGACUCUCAAAGAGGGACUUCUGCAGGCCAAGGAAAGGCACAAUUUCAAGUGCAGCCUGGAAACAAACCUAGACUUGUUACUCCACUUUGUAACAAAUGCUCUCAUGUUAUGAAAUUAUAUUAUUGCUUAUCUCCUUUGAGGAUAUCCUACUCAUACACAAUUGAGAGAAAAUGAAAGUCCUGUCUCAGUAAUUUGUCCAUUGAUGCCCAAUAAGAAACAGGAGUGAGCAGGUUGUUUCCAUCUUUGUUUAGGCACUUUGCUCCCCAUAAUCUGCCCUUACUUAUUAUCCUGGAUGAAAAACAAAAAAAUAAGAAAAUGAUACCUGAUAACUAUCACCAUUUUGGUGGGACUUUCGUGAUUCUCAGGGGUUCUGAGCUGUGCACUAGACUUCAGUCUGUGUUUGUUGCCACUGUGAACACAAAAACCAUAAAGGGAUGGAAGAGAAUAGAUUCAGUUCUGCUGUGCAUGAUCUGCCUGUCCACUAGCAGUCCACGUAUCAGAAGAAAUUGAAAUUGCCUGCUCUAAUGCAAUUCUCUGAGCACAGAUUAAGGGAGAUAAAAAUACUCUUUCUGCACUGAGAAUAUGUCUGUUAGAACAGAAGAACACAGGUAGGAAAGCAAGCUGCCUAGAGAUCUGGUUAUUUCAGUGACAGCAGGGGAGCUGGAUUGAUCUAGCUGCUUCUUAGGUGCAGUCUGGUAUUACGGCUGAGUUUGUCUACAAGCUAGUUGCUGUCCUUGUUUCCCAUUUACACUGCUUUCCUUAAAUUGCAUCUAGUGCUGUGUGGCCACAGGGCAAAAUCUGCUCAUCAGAGCAGCAGAAAACUAACCAUGAAAAUGAAUAGUUUUCAGCCAGAUGGGCCAGCUGAAUCAACUCACCCAGAAGUCACUCCAUCACUGGAUUCAGCUCAAGGGAGAAGGAUGGAGAACACAGCUGGAAGCAGUAAUGGAGUGAGAUCACCACUAUUUGGCAUUAGCUUGCAGCUCUAACUGCAAGGAUGACCUGCCUCUAUCCUCCCUUCCCUGCUCCGAGCAGCACGCUCCUGCCACUUCCAGUGCUUGCUUGACCUCAGGGAACUAGGCCUCUAAGUCAGCAGCAAACUAACCCAGCACCUGAGAAACAGAGUAUUCUGCCUGCUUAAUUAGGUGAAGGAUGGAGGUGGGAUGAGUGUAAGUCCUGGCGCAAGGAUGCUGAUGAGCUUGUGUGGUGUCUGUGACUGGGAGGAGGCCAGGGUGGCUCCUUCUGACAGCAGCCAUUUCACAACAGCUCAUUUUCAAUUCAACCCAAAGAAGGAAAAUAAACAGCAUGAAAAAAAGAGAGCCACAGCUGAGCAAAUGGGAACCAACUGUACAACUCUCCGUUGAAAAGCAUUCACCUCAUCAUUAGGUGAAGAAGGACAGGCUUAAUGCACAGUUUUGAAAGGUGUGUUACCUGUCUGGUUGCUGGAUGGAAGGGAGCGAUGUGAAUAGCACCACUUAGUGCCUGCAUAGCUCUGCUCUCCCCAGAUCACAGGCAGGAGGCUCAGAAAACGGUUUUGAAAAGUAAGCACCUUUCUGCCUAUUAGUCCCUGUGCUAUUGGGUGCCUGGAAGACCCAAAGGCAGAUAUAGCUCAUUUAAAAAUCAAGGCAAAAGGAAAAAAUACAAGAGGGCAGAAGCUGUGUAACAGCAAAGCAUGGAGGAGGAUGCUGAUGUUUUCUGAAAUACCAGCAGAACUCAGGGCAGGGUCAUGCUGGCCCUGCAGGGCCCCUUGGGAACACGUGCUAGUGGGGUUUAGACCCUGAACCAGAGGGCAGUGCCCUUCUGGAGGUGUUUCAAAAGAGCACCAAAAAGUGCUCUGACCUUACGUGAAUGUAAGUCAUUGUUGUGGUUGAUUCAGUUUUUCUCUGGGCAGAUAGCCAACAAUGCAAUCACUAAUUGCACUGAUUUCCAUGUCCUCUCUUCUGUAAAAUCAGUUUAUUAGAGGAGUUGGUUAAAUUCAGGAAGUGCUUAAAUUCCUAACCAUAUCUUGCUUAGCAAGAACUUAUUGAUAACAGUGCUGUACUGCUCUCAGCUCAUGUGCCUGUAAAGAGCAUGAUUGGUUACAGAGCUGUACAGUUGCGGAUGCAAUUGCAUCAGCUAAGAUAUAUUAAACUGGUAUAAUUAUUUUAUUAGUCUGAAUUGUUCUUUUAUGAUCAUCUGUAUCUGUUAUAACUGCAUCCAUCCUAAGGAACAUUUGCUCUCUGUCAGAAUGAGAAUACAAUGGGAAGAUAGCCUUCCACACGUGUAUUUUUCCUUAUGAGU